rnacentral:rRNA from 1 species
GACGAGCGCUGGCGGCGUGCUUAACACAUGCAAGUCGAACGGUGAAGGGGCCUGCUUUUGUGGGCCCUGGAUGAGUGGCGAACGGGUGAGUAACACGUGAGUAACCUGCCCCCUUCUUCUGGAUAACCGCAUGAAAGUGUGGCUAAUACGGGAUAUUCUGGGUCUGUCGCAUGAUGGGUCUGGGAAAGAUUGCGCCUUUGGGUGUUUUUGGUGGGGGAUGGGCUCGCGGCCUAUCAGCUUGUUGGUGGGGUGAUGGCCUACCAAGGCGGUGACGGGUAGCCGGGCUGAGAGGGUGGACGGUCACACUGGGACUGAGACACGGCCCAGACUCCUACGGGAGGCAGCAGUGGGGAAUAUUGCACAAUGGGCGCAAGCCUGAUGCAGCGACGCCGCGUGAGGGAUGGAGGCCUUCGGGUUGUAAACCUCUUUCGCCAGUGAAGCAGGCCUGCUCCUUGUGGGUGGGUUGACGGUAGCUGGAGAAGAAGCGCCGGCUAACUACGUG